rnacentral:sRNA from 1 species
GCGCCAUGAUGGUAGGGAGUAGCGACUCGGAGACAAUUUUCCCAUCUGCUUGACAUGUUCUUAUUUUUGUUGGAGAGCUCCCUGGGGCUUUCUUCGCAGAGGCCCCCUCGGUUCACCGCACCCUUCUGAGCCAAGGGUAAUUUAGCUUGGGGCUUCUCUUGAGCUUGUGCAACCCAAAUUGAUGGGGAGGCGGGGCCUGGGGAAUUGCUCUUUGCAACAAGGUGCAUGUUGCAUCUGUCUGGAGCCCUUGCAGAUCUGUAAAUGCAAGCCGCGCCACCCUUUUCUCCCGAGGGGGGACGUUUUAAAACUUCAGAAGUCUGUAAUCAGCAGUGGCGGACUCGGAGCCCAGUAGAAGCCCCAGCCACCCGAGCUGGAUGAGGUUUCAGGCGUUGCAAGUGGUGGACAGCGCCCAGCCGAGGCCGGAAAAGUCGAUGGGGCUCAGUUCGGCGACGCUCGGCUAGGAUCAUCCAUGAAGAUGGCUUCUCCGGAGAAGAUGUGAAACAGUACAAGCCUGUUGUCUACAGCAACACCAUCCAGUCCCUGGCAGCCAUCGUCCGGGCCAUGGACACUUUGGGCAUCGAAUAUGGUGAUAAGGAGAGAAAGGCUGACGCCAAGAUGGUGUGUGACGUGGUGAGUCGGAUGGAAGACACCGAGCCCUUCUCUGCAGAGCUGCUUUCUGCCAUGAUGCGGCUCUGGGGCGACUCAGGAAUCCAAGAGUGCUUCAACCGGUCCCGGGAGUAUCAGCUCAACGACUCUGCCAAAUACUACCUGGACAGCCUGGAUCGGAUUGGGGCCGCCGACUACCAGCCCACCGAGCAGGACAUCCUCCGAACCAGGGUCAAAACCACUGGCAUCGUAGAAACCCACUUCACAUUCAAGAACCUCCACUUCAGGCUGUUUGACGUCGGAGGCCAGCGAUCUGAACGCAAGAAGUGGAUCCAUUGCUUCGAGGACGUCACGGCCAUCAUUUUCUGUGUCGCACUCAGCGGCUAUGACCAGGUGCUCCACGAAGACGAAACCACGAACCGCAUGCACGAGUCUCUCAUGCUCUUCGACUCCAUCUGUAACAACAAGUUCUUCAUCGAUACCUCCAUCAUUCUCUUCCUCAACAAGAAAGAUCUCUUUGGCGAGAAGAUCAAGAAGUCACCUUUGACCAUCUGCUUUCCUGAAUACACAGGCCCCAAUACCUAUGAAGACGCAGCCGCCUACAUCCAAGCACAAUUUGAAAGCAAAAACCGCUCACCCAACAAAGAAAUAUAUUGUCACAUGACUUGUGCCACAGACACGAAUAAUAUCCAGGUGGUGUUCGACGCCGUCACCGACAUCAUCAUUGCCAACAACCUCCGGGGCUGCGGCUUGUACUGACCUCUUGUCCUGUAUAGCAACCUAUUUGACUGCUUCACGGACUCUUUGCUGUUGACGUUGAUCUCCUGGUAGCAUGACCUUUUGGCCUUUGUAAGACACACAGCCUUUCUGUAUCAAGCCCCUGUCUAACCUACGACCCCAGAGUGACUGACGGCUGUGUAUUUCUGUAGAAUGCUGUAGAAUCCGGUUUUAGUUGAGUCUUCACAUUUAGAAUUUGAAAGGAAAAAAAGAACAUUUCUCAUGUGCUUUGUAGCUUAAAAAAAAAAAAAGGAAAACUCACCAUUUCAUCCAUAUUUCUUUCUUUUUCUUGCAAAACAAACAUACCCAUCUGCACCGACGCCUGCCCCCGUCCCACCUCGCGGCGCAGCCCCUGGCGCUCCUACUGGGGAGCAGGGCCCAUCUGCCGCCUGGGGCUCCGGUGCGGUGCACUGGUCCGAGGAGUGUGCUCAGGCCGGGCUUUCCAGAAGGCCACAGGCCACUGCAAACCCUGCUGCCUGCCGGCCGCCCAGACACCACAGACGCCACCUGGCGGCCCUAAGCCACUCCCGCCACACGCUCACUCCAGGUUCGUAUAGAAAAAGCACAGCUCUCACUGGCCAGUAGCUGCCAGAAAGAAUACCCAUCGUAUAUGGAAAUCCAGCCCCAUAGAAAACAAUCUGCCCACCGACCCCCUUUCUACAGAUAGCCUUUGUAGGGGUUUUUUGGUUCCUUUUUUUUUUGUUCAGUUUUUGUUUUUAUUUUUGUCCUGCCGAGUAACUAUGUAUUACCACCCCUCCACCCCCCGGAUCAGUUUUCCUAGUCUUUGGGAAACGGGUUGUUUUUUUUUUUCCUUUGCCGUGUUAGAUUUCCGGUCCCGGCUGACACCCCCCUUCGUGUGUGCGCCCCUCCCACCUCUGCCUUUGUUUCGGUGCCCUGUGUCCGCUCUCUCAUGUGGGGAUGUUUGUGCUGCAGACAAAAAGAACAAAAAAAAAUUUUUAAAUACCACAAGAUGGAAAAAAAACCACAAAAAAAUUUAAAAAGAUGGAAUGUAGUGUUUACAUUAAAGCCGCCGUUUUCAUGACCAGUCCUAUGUCAUUUCUACUUUGACUAAUACCGAAACCCUAAACCUCUUCAUGGUUUCACUUUUAAGACUUAAUCUUUGCUGAAGAAGACCAGUCACAGCCAUUUCAAAUAAAGAGGAGGCAAACACACAAAAAAUUAAAAAAAAAAAACUUAAAAAAAAAAGGAAAAAAGAAAAAAUAGCCCACGGGUCUUUGUAAGCCUUUCUAUUCCCAAUCGGUGAGGUUUCUGUGAUAUCUUACACACU